rnacentral:rRNA from 1 species
UACAGAGGGGGCAAGCGUUGUUCGGAAUUACUGGGCGUAAAGGGCGCGUAGGCGGUUCGAUAAGUCCCGUGUGAAAUCCCUCGGCUCAACUGAGGAACUGCACGGGAAACUGACGGGCUUGAGUUCGGGAGAGGGAAGCGGAAUUCCGGGUGUAGCGGUGAAAUGCGUAGAUAUCCGGAGGAACACCGGUGGCGAAGGCGGCUUCCUGGACCGACACUGACGCUGAGGAGCGAAAGCGUGGGGAGCGAACAGG